GCGGACGUGGUGCACGGUGUAUCGCUGCACUUAAUAAAUCUGCUGCUAUCCAUUUGAUGCAGCUGCUGGGGUUCGACUCCCCGCGUCCGCA